GACGAACGCUGGCGGCGCGCUUAACACAUGCAAGUCGAACGGGUCUGCCCUGUUUUUUGCGGGGUGGGUCAGUGGCGAACGGGUGAGUAACACGUGAGUAACCUGCCCCUCACUUCUGGAUAACCGCUUGAAAGGGUGGCUAAUACGGGGUGUUCUGGCUGUGCCGCAUGGUGUGGCUGGGAAAGAUUCACUUUUGUGGUGUUUUGGUGGGGGAUGGGCUCGCGGCCUAUCAGCUUGUUGGUGGGGUGAUGGCCUGCCAAGGCUUUGACGGGUAGCCGGCCUGAGAGGGUGGGCGGUCACACUGGGACUGAGAUACGGCCCAGACUCCUGCGGGAGGCAGCAGUGGGGGGUAUUGCACAAUGGGCGGAAGCCUGAUGCAGCGACGUCGCGUGAGGGAUGGAGGCCUUCGGGUUGUGAACCUCUUUCGCCGGUGAAGAAGGUCCUGCUCUUUGUGGUGGGGUUGACGGUAGCCGGGUUAUGAAGCGCCGGCUAACUACGUG
rnacentral:rRNA from 1 species